rnacentral:rRNA from 1 species
AGCAGCCGCGGUAAUUCCAGCUCCAAUAGCGUAUAUUAAAGUUGUUGCAGUUAAAAAGCUCGUAGUUGAAUUUCGGGAUCAAUUCGUCGGUCGUGCUUUUUGGUACGUACUGGUGUUAUUGGUUUCUCCCUUCUGACGAACCAUGAUGUCAUUAAUUUGGUGUUAUGGGGAGUUAGGACUGUUACUUUGAAAAAAUUAGAGUGUUUAAAGCAGGCAUUAGCUUGAAUACAUUAGCAUGGAAUAAUGAAAUAGGACGUUCGAACCUAUUUUGUUGGUUUCUAGGAUCAACGUAAUGAUUAAUAGGGAUAGUUGGGGGCAUUAGUAUUCAAUUGUCAGAGGUGAAAUUCUUGGAUUUAUUGAAGACUAACUACUGCGAAAGCAUUUGCCAAGGAUGUUUUCAUUAAUCAAGAACGAAAGUUAGGGGAUCGAAGACGAUCAGAUACCGUCGUAGUCUUAACCAUAAACUAUGCCGACUAGGGAUCGGAUGAUGUUAAUUUUUUAAUGACUCAUUCGGCGCCUUACG